UUGGUUUCUCCUUUCUGACGAGCCAUGAUGUCAUUAAUUUGGUGUUAUGGGGAGUUAGGACUGUUACUUUGAAAAAAUUAGAGUGUUUAAAGCAGGCUCACGCUUGAAUACAUUAGCAUGGAAUAAUGAAAUAGGACGUUUGAUUCUAUUUUGUUGGUUUCUAGGAUCGACGUAAUGAUUAAUAGGGAUAGUUGGGGGCAUUAGUAUUCAAUUGUCAGAGGUGAAAUUCUUGGAUUUAUUGAAGACUAACUACUGCGAAAGCAUUUGCCAAGGAUGUUUUCAUUAAUCAAGAACGAAAGUUAGGGGAUCGAAGACGAUCAGAUACCGUCGUAGUCUUAACCAUAAACUAUGCCGACUAGGGAUCGGAUGAUGUUAAUUUUUUAAUGACUCAUUCGGCGCCUUACG
rnacentral:rRNA from 1 species